rnacentral:rRNA from 1 species
UACGUAGGGUGCGAGCGUUGUCCGGAUUUAUUGGGCGUAAAGAGCUCGUAGGCGGUUUGUCGCGUCGGCCGUGAAAUCUCCACGCUUAACGUGGAGCGUGCGGUCGAUACGGGCAGACUUGAGUUCGGUAGGGGAGACUGGAAUUCCUGGUGUAGCGGUGGAAUGCGCAGAUAUCAGGAGGAACACCAGUGGCGAAGGCGGUGCUCUGGGCCGGAACUGACGCUGAGGAGCGAAAGCGUGGGGAGCAAACAGG